UAGUUGGAUUCCUGGCCUGGGGUAGCCGGUCCGCCUUGCAAAAGGUGCGCACUGUGCGGCCUCGGCCAUCCUUGAGAAGAGCUGUUCUGGCAUUCAGUUGUCGGGGCGGGGAUUCUCGACGUUUACUGUGAAAAAAUCAGAGUGUUCAAAGCAGGCUUACGCCUUGAAUACAUUAGCAUGGAAUAAUGAGAUAGGACCUUGGCGGUCUAUUUUGUUGGUUUGCACGCCGAGGUAAUGAUUAAAAGGGACGGUUGGGGUUCUUCGUAUUCAAUUGUCAGAGGUGAAAUUCUUGGAUUUAUGGAAGACGAACUGCUGCGAAAGCGUCGAACAAGGACGUUCUCAUUAAUCAAGAACGAAAGUUAGGGGAUCGAAGAUGAUUAGAUACCAUCGUAGUCUUAACCAUAAACUAUGCCGAUUCAGGAUUGGCGGUCGUUUGUUCUCGACUCCGUCAGCACUGUAUGAGAAAUCAAAAUCUUUGGGUUCCGGGGGGAGUAUGGUCGCGAGGCUGAAACUUAAAGAAAUUGACGGAAGGGCACCACCAGGAGUGGAGCCUGCGG
rnacentral:rRNA from 1 species